CCAGUCUCUUGGGAUAGAACAUGAUGGAAGACAAUAUGAGAAAAAAAAUGGGUAUAUGUAUGUGUAUAUGAUGUGUCACUAUGCUGUAUAGCAGGAAUUGGCACAACACUGUAAAUCAACUAUACUUUAAAAAAAAAGGAAAUAAAUCGAUUAUUUUUGAAUUAACAAAAUAUUAUUUAUUUAUUUAAUGGGGGGUCCCAGAAGGGCAAUCAAAGACUUACUAAUAGACAAUAAGAAAUAUAUUUGUGCAGACUAAUAUAGAUGGCACCAUGUGGUGUGGGGCAGGGACAAAAAGGAAGAUUUGUAUGUAGGUUCCUGGGAAGAAAAAAUGGGGAAUAUUUAUUUAUUGAAGUAUAUUUUAUUUACAAUGUUGUAGAUUAUAUAUAAUAUAUAAAGUACAUAUAUAAUACCUAUAUACUAUAUACAUUGUAUGUGCCUAUUCUUUUUUAGAGUCUUUUCCCUUAUAGGUUAUUACAACUUAUUGAGUGUGUUUCCCUGUGUUAUACAGUAGAUCCUUGCUGGUUAUCUACUUUAUAUGUAGUAGUGUGCAUAUAUUAAUCCCAAACUCCUAAUUUAUCCCUGCCCCCUUCCCCUUUGAUAACUAUAAGUUUGUUUUCUAUGUCUGUGUUAUUUCUGUUCUGUAAAUAAAUUCAUUUGUAUCUUUUAAAGAAAGAUUCCAUAUGUAAACAAUAUUAUAUUAUAUUUGUCUUUGUCUGGCUUACUUUACUUAGUAUUAUAUUCUAUAGGUCCAGCUAUGCUGCUGCAAAAAGCAUUAUUUCAUUCUUUUUCAUGGCUGAGUAUUAUUCCUGUUUGUGUGUGUGUGUUGUGUGUACCACAUUUUCUUUACCCAUUCUUUUCUCAGUGAUCAUUUAGAUUUCAUCCAUGUCUUGGCAAUUGCUAGUACUGCAAUGAAAUCAAAACGGUAAGAGGUAGCACUCACUCCAAUCAAAAUGGCCAUCACUGAAAAGUCCACAAAUAAUAAAUGCUGGAGAGGGUAUACAGUAAAGUGUACCUACUUAAACUGGUGGUGGGAAUGUAAAUUGGUACAGCCACUAUGAAAGUUCUUUUAAAACCAAAAAUAGAGUUACCUUUUAUUCCUACAAUCCCUCUCUUAUGCAUAUAUCCAGAGAGAACUAUAAUUUGAAAAGAUACCCAUUGGAGCACUAUUUACAAUAACCAAGACAGGGAGUAUUUAUUAAUAUGCUCGUGUUGUUAGUCCUACAUGGUUCCAUCAGUCAGCAAGAGGCUAUCAGUAAAAACUAAUGUAGCUAUUUGUCUUAGUGACUGUAAGAACCGAUGCCUAAGCCAAGAUAUUUGUGAGUCCAGCAGUCAAAGAUACAGUUAGAGAAAUGGCCAAGCUUCCCACACAUCCCUGCCCCAUCUCCCUUUUGCCAUAGAAUAGACAAUGGUUCUGCCUCUAGAGAACUGAGAGGAAAUCAGUGUCCUUUGUCAGUUGAGGGAAAGCAGGUAUAUGCAGUGGAAAGAAUGGCAUUAAACUACAAAAUCAUAUUGCUAUAUAACACAAGCAGCUGUAAUCAUUGAUUAUAAAAAUUCACUUUACAACAUGAACACAUGCUGGUGUUAGUGCAUAUGCUGAAAGCGUUAUCUUCAAAAGAGUGAAGGCUGAAUUUCCUACUGUCCUAAUGUAGAAGAAAUUGAUUCUUGCUCAAAUAACAAUCAAACCCUCUUUUGGUACAAUGGCUCAGGUUCUGUGGUGGGUAAAGAGAAUCAGUGAAAACAACUCCCUUAAAAGUGUGAUAAGAUUUUCAAUAAAUCAGCUCCUUUAUUAUACUCACUGUGUCAUUCACAAUGAAAUAGUAGAGCUGUAUGUCCCCACCAAUAUUUCAUCGUUUUAUUUUGAAAAAGUAUCAUCUGUAGUGUUCUGCCAGUAUUGUGUGAUUUACUGUUCUAUACUCAGUUCUGGCAAUAUCCAUCGCAUCUCAGCUAUUCUAUUCUUGGCACCAAGGAAGAUUUUGCUUCAGGUUUUAUUUAUUCAGUGCCUGUUAAUGUUGUAAUUUUUAUAUCACUGUCAUGUCAUUUUGCCACUAAUGUCAUAUAUUUGAUAAAAGAGCACAGGGAGAGGAGCUGUGUUCUUAUUAAUUAGAGAGGUCUGAUAAAUGGAUUAUCUUAUUUAGUAAGCAAGUAUUUGACAAGCAGGUGAAUACAGACGGGCAUAUUAAUGCUGGUUUCCUAAUUUACUGCUCCGUCAACAUGUUCAAUUUUUUUUUUUUAGUACCUUUCUGAACAUCUCCUUGAAACCUGCCUUAACCAUAGCAGCUAAAAGUUAUUUAAUGACAACCAUCAAUUACGGUAUAUGCCUUUAUUCACAUGGGUCAUUUCAUUUUAAUCCUUCUAUCAAUCCAACGAGAGAUGGCAUGUUAUUACAAUCUCCGUUUUACAAAUAGGGAAACUGAGGCAAAAUAAGAUUUUUUAUUUUUUAUAACCCAAGAGUUCAUGGCUAGUAAAAGGAUUUCAAGAAGAUAGAUGUGUUCAUUUUAAAAGCAGGAUAGACAAAGUUGGACUCAUUUCCAAUUCCAAUGGAACUCAGCUGUGUUUUCCUUUUCUGCUGAGUGAUUCUCAUUCAUCUGGCUGUGUCCCAUUCUCUGCCAAAUCUUGCCCAGGAUCUGUGCAAUGUCGGUGUGGACUCCUAUCCAAGUCUGACCAACUGGAUUCCAACUGUUCCUAAAGGCUCAGCCACACUCUGAGUUCCUGAGUUUCUCCCAAGCAACUCCAGGAGUACUUUAUGCAUUUCCGCAGUCCCUAAAAAUGAGUCACAGUGGAAAUGGAAGAAGCUUUUGUAGGACUAGCACUUUAAAUUCCCCAAACUUGAUACUUGUAUCCCCAUUUGUAGGACUGCUCUUCUGUGCUAGGUCUCUGGUUCCCACAGAGACUGAGGUCCUUCUUGAAGCCCUAACUUCCUUGGCUGGUGCCCUAACACUGGCUUCUAUUCUGUCAGUUAUGCCCUUGCAUGCUUCUCUUUAUUCUCCCCUUUCUUGAGGUGGCUCUGUCUGUUCCAAAAGUUUAGUAUACUAUUGAGGGCUGGAGUAUACCACGGAGUAUUUAGUAUACUAUGACUUUGAGUUGCAUCACGUUUUAGAAACCCUUGCUUUCCUCUCUACUAGGUCAUCUCCUCUUGGACAGUGAUCAAAUAUGAACGUAUUGAAAGUCUGAGGGUAAAUCUUACCUGUUGGCGUGUUAUCUGUGGAGCUCAGCCCUCGGAGUUAUUUGUCUAGUUGUUGUCCUUAUUACCAUGACUCCCUCCCUUUCCCUACCAGUUAAACCACUAAGUUCCCAGCAUGCCUCUGAACUGAUCUCACCUGAGGAAUAGCAAUAAAUGUGGCUUUUCACCUCAAGUACUUCUGGCUCUAUCAAGUGGCGUACUCGGAAAUGUAUUCUAAGUAUUGAAUACUACUUUCAAUUCUGUUUUUGUAUUGGAAAGAGGCUGGAAAAGGGCAGUGUGGUCCCUAGUUUUCUACUGAUACAGAAGCUAGAAGCUAAUUUGCUAAGAUCCUCCUGGCUAAGCACUGGCAUUGUGAUACACGGUGUAAUACACUGCUCAUGGACAUCUGUAAGUGACAGAGCUGGAACUUCAACUUUAAAGUGCUUAACUACAAGGUCCUACCCUUCUUACCUCCUGUAACUCCCUCACUUUUUAUAAUGGUGCUCAACUUAGCUUGGAUGACUUAUAUUAGUCCUUUAGCUCUCUGAGCUUGAUAGUCUUUUUCAUAAAUCAGAGAGGUAGGCAAGAUGCUAUCUAUUUUUCGUUUAUUUGGUUUUUUUGGUCUUUUUAGGAGAUUUUAGUUUAUUUUUUUAAUUAUUGAAGUGUAAUUGAUCUACAGUGUUAAUUUCUGCUGUACAGCAAAGUGACUCAGUUAUAUAUAUACUGUUUUCACAUCUUUUCCAUUACGGUUUAUCACAAGAUAUUGAAUAUAGUUUCCUGUGUUACACAGCAGGACCUUGUUUUUUAUCCAUCCUGUAUAUAUUAGUUUGCAUCUGCAGCAUUUAGUUUCUGAUAUAAGAUGUAAUCUAAGUGCUAUAUCAUAAUUACAGUGACUAAUUCCAUUACAGUAGUUUCUAAAAGACUGGAAUUCUUCUGUCCAGUCUUACAUCUCUUUCAUUGUGAUUUGGCAUUUUAUACAUUGUUUUUCUGCCUAGACAUUGAAUGGCUUUAUUUUAGAUUUAUUAUUUGAAAUAUUUUAAAAUUUCCAUCCAAACUUUAUGAGAAAUAUAUUUCUCUACCAUCCCAGUUUUAUUCAAGAAAGAUUUUUACAAUAUCUAAUAGUAGGGAAAAAAACAUAGUUUUCAUUAUCAUUAGCAUCAAUCACUUUCUUAUUUCUCUCUCUUUUUUUUCUUUGCUUAUUACAAGAAAACAUAUUGGAAAUCACUCUAC
rnacentral:lncRNA from 1 species